ensembl:lncRNA
AGCCGCUAUGAACUGUCGGAGAGCUGGACAGUGACUCGCUAACGUGCUGUAGCAGAGACAGCAUCGGGUCCGCAAGGAGUGGAUUUAUUGUGGGACUGGUGAACGGCGAUCUACCGGGCAACGGAACUGUAAGUCAGACUUCUGUGCUCUUACUGGGAGAAGAGGAUUUUCUCCAUCGUCCGGCGUGAGCAGCAAACAGGCCUGCAACAAGUGUGAAUACAUGGCUGGUAAGGACAUGAGGAGGAAACAGUAGGAGCUGUGUGAAGCUACUAAAGGCAGUGGAUCCCUCAGCAGCUGGAUUACAAAGAGCACAGUCUCAGAUCAACACAGCCCUGCCCUCCAGCACUAUCAGCAGCAGGAGCAGCAGCAACCCCUCAACAGCAACAUUGUACCCAUCAGCUUUGAGCACCCGCCCCUAUAAACGUCUCUGCACGGCCCUGCUUGAAAAUUUCUCUAGAUCCACCCCUGGACCUGUCCUGGACCAGCAACACCAAAUCAGUGACAAAAAGAGCUCAGCAGCGACUGCAAUUCAAGAGACGACUGAAGAAGGUCCACAUCCCCAAACCCAUCUUUAACACCUUCUACAGAGGUACCAUACAGAGCAUCCUAACCCGCUAUUUACACCUCACGCUGCACUGGGAAAGCCACAAGCAUCAUAGCCGACCCGCAUCACCUUUCCCACCAACUGUUUACCACCCCUUAAUCCAGAAGAUGACUCUGCGUCAUCAGGAGCAGGUGGGCAAGAUUGUGCAAUAGGAUUUUCCCCCAAAGCAAUCCGGCUCCUGAACACCAUGCUGCGCUCCUCCACACUGAACUCUCUUCUCCACACACUUCUUGGACUACAUAACACUCUCCUUUCACAACCAAUUCUUACACUACCCUGUAUUGUACUGAUCGACUCUGUCUGUUGUCUUUAUUUAUUCUCAUUGUUUUCUAUUCUUACUCUCUCUGUAUUCAAGUACAAUACUGUUGUACUUACUCUUAGAUUAUCUUAUUUCUGUAUAGUUGUAAGUAUGUAUGUAUAUUUGAAUUUUCCCAUUUUAUUUUUACACUUUGCACCUUUGAUCCAGGACAAUGAUAUUUCAUCGCACUGUAUACUUGAGUGCAUGUUGUUGGGUUGACAAUAAAACUCUGCUUGACUUGAAUUAAACUUGUGCAUUAGCGAAUGAGGAAAUGAGCCUCUACAGGCCUCAGACAGC